UUAGGAAUCUUGCGCAAUGGGCGAAAGCCUGACGCAGCAACGCCGCGUGGGGGAUGAAGGCCCUCGGGUUGUAAACCCCUUUCAGUCGGGACGCGGUACCGACAGAAGAAGCACCGGCCAACUACGUGCCAGCAGCCGCGGUGACACGUAGGGUGCAAGCGUUGUCCGGAUUUAUUGGGCGUAAAGGGCUCGUAGGCGGUUCGACAAGUCGGGUGUGAAACCUCCAGGCUCAACCUGGAGUCGCCACUCGAAACUGUUGGACUAGAGUCCGGUAGGGGAGCAUGGAAUUCCUGGUGUAGCGGUGGAAUGCGCAGAUAUCAGGAGGAACACCAGUGGCGAAGGCGAUGCUCUGGGCCGGUACUGACGCUGAGGAGCGAAAGCAUGGGGAGCGAACAGGAUUAGAUACCCUGGUAGU
rnacentral:rRNA from 1 species